rnacentral:rRNA from 1 species
GUCAGGCGGGGCCACCCGCCGAGUUUAAGCAUAUAAAUAAGCGGAGGAGAAGAAACUUACGAGGAUUCCCCUAGUAACGGCGAGCGAACCGGGAUCAGCCCAGCUUGAGAAUCGGGCGGCCGCGCCGUCCGAAUUGUAGUCUGGAGAAGCGUCCUCAGCGACGGACCGGGCCCAA